UUUUUGCAUUUUGUUCUGUUUUGUUCUACAUCUGUGGUUGGUGGAUAUUAGAAUGAGGUAGAUAGUCUUGUAGAGGCGUCUCAGACACAAAGUGUGUGUCAGUCUCAGAGUUAGUCAGCUACAACUUAUUAAUAUUGUAAAUUAGCUCCAGCCCCCUUUCAAAGGGGGCCCUCAGGCUUAACUAAUCCUGUUGUUUCUGUUCCAGAAUGUCCCCAGCCAGCGAUCAACAAAGUUUCUGAGAUCCACAAAGAACCAAGUCAUAGUAAGUUUCUUUGUCUGUCACGUUUUAAUAAUUACCUUUUUAAAAAGAAAAUAACCUCUUUCUACUCUGUUCUCCAGGGGGAAGGAUCUGUGUUUACAUUGUGAUAGCUGCCUUUGCCAUUGCUCUCGGUGCAUUAUUGAUUUUGAAGAUUCGACUUGACAGACCCAGCGACGUUGAUCCAGAAUGCGGUUGAACACUGAACAUGCAAUGAGAAUCCUGUUCGUUUCUGCCACUGUAUACCCCCCUGGAGCACAGAACCUACAAAUACAGAUUUAGAUCAGACUAGUUUAGCUUUAUCUCCAUUGUAGUGAAUGAGACACACCUAUAAAAACUUUGCUUUUUUUCUACUCCAAACCAGGUUCUUUUAUUUAAAUUUGUUUUUAUUUAAAAUUGCUUGAAACCUUUUUGUACGUUGGUCAGAAAUGAAAAGGGACUACUUUAUUAUAACUGUAAGAACCAGACAUCACAUUAGUUUAAGUGGGUGAGAUUAAAGCAGGUGGUUAAUCAUUUCUGAUCUUGACAUUAGUUUGGCUUUAAAAAUGUAAUUAUCUUGGUGUUUAGUACGGAUACCUUACUGUUCCAACAGAGGCUACAUUUCCCUAUAAUGAAAUUUUACAUAACAAAAAAAAGGAUGAAAUCCAGU